rnacentral:lncRNA from 10 species
AUUCAAUAUCCAUCUUGAUCUUAAAACAAAAGUUCAUUUCUGGUGAAAAUAAGGCCAACAAAUCAUAUUUUCUUAAACGUUUGAGUUUAAUCAUUUAUGAGAUCACGUCUCUUUAAAAAGUCUUCAUGGUAAUAAAAAAGUAUGGUAACAACAAAAAUGACAACAAAUGAUAUACGAUUAUUUUGGGGGUGUGUAAAAUUUAACACAAAUGUAACAUAAAAUUGAGUUAAAAUGAUGUUUAUAUAGAAAAUAAUUAUUUUAAUUAAUGAGCUUGCAUGUAUGAGGGUCUAUUUUGUUAUACUAUGAUUUGUAGAGCAAAUUAAUAAAUAGUAUUCUUUUAGUAUUUACUUAUUCGUUUAGCUAUGUUAUGCCAAGAGGAAUUGGUAGUGAUUAAUAAAGAGGGACAGUUUUUGUAGAUUCUUCUUUAACCAUAAAUAAGCUGGACACCUUUUAUAUGAGUAUUGUUAUUAAUGGCAACAACAAAUCUUUAACAAUGUAGGCAGUGUGUCUGGAAUUUGUAAAAGAGAUGCCAUAAAGAGGUCAAAGGAAGAAGACAGAAAAAGUGUGGGUUUAUCGCUCAUGUAUAUUAAUCCCCAAUAAGACAGGAUCUGAUAUCGCAGCAUCUUAGAGGAAGAAAACAAAACCAUUACUGCGUAAACAUCCCCAGUGAGGAGCCAACGAGACUCAGAGGCCCUGUCUGCAGAAGCAGAUAGCGGUCACCCACCCAUCCAUCCAUCCAUGACACACCCCCAUCAGAGAAGAGGGUCUGCUUUGUGUUUAUUGGGUCUGGAGCUGAGGCUGCAAUAGAUGACCAAUAUAACAGAAUGGGGGCAAAUCACUUAAAAUGUCUGAAAUUGCAUGACUAGUUGACAUUAUGCAAUUUCCUAACUUACUAUUCAACUUCACUUUCCACUAGGUGCUGAGAGCAUGAGCAUAUAAGCAACAGGAGUUUUUAAAAGGCCGCUCUUCAAUGCAGACAGAGCUAAGCACCUCAGUAGUGACACAAUAUAAACUUCACUACAUGAAAUCCUGGAAGUUGAUGUAAACAGCUUUUAAUAGCAGUGAACAUUUGUUCGCUUUGUUUAGACCAUCUGGAUGUUCCAUUGUGUUCAGUUCAACACUGACUGCCGCCGGGUGACAGUUGAUAUAUGUUAAGUACAAGCAAAGUGCCUCAGCCCACUCUGGGGACCUUAACGAGAACUUUUCAGUGUUUUGUGGAUUAUUCUGUCAGAUCGCAGCCGAGUCGCCUGCAUCCUUUAUGGCUACAUGCCAAAGUUCUUCCAGGCAGCUUGGAGAGCACGAGCUGACAGGAAUGAUUUCCAAUAUGGAGGAGAGAAUAAAGAGGACCUUGGAUCCUAAGAGAAGCCAGGCUUUGCUUGUUUAAUAUGCAACAUGUCUGACAAACAAGCCAUUAAAACACCACCAAAGAAAAUCUGCCCGAUAAACAUAUAAAGCGGUUAGUUUUCUGAAGAGGAGAGAUUAUUCCUUAAAAGCACAAUCUCCUCCACCCGCACGAACCACUGUGUGGUGUGCAAUUGUGCAUACGUAUGUUUACUUUCUAAUGCAAAGAAGCCUCCGCGUGCUUAUCCUGAUGUUGCACGAAGCAGAAUCAUUCAAGUGAAAAAU